UACGUAGGGGCUAGCGUUAUCCGGAAUUACUGGGCGUAAAGGGUGCGUAGGUGGUUUCUUAAGUCAGAGGUGAAAGGCUACGGCUCAACCGUAGUAAGCCUUUGAAACUGGGAAACUUGAGUGCAGGAGAGGGGAGUGGAAUUCCUAGUGUAGCGGUGAAAUGCGCAGAGAUCAGGAGGAACACCGGUGGCGAAGGCGACUUUCUGGCUGACAACUGACGCUGAGGCGCGAAAGCGUGGGGAGCAAACAGGAUUAGAUACCCGUGUAGUCCCUGAG
rnacentral:rRNA from 1 species